UACGAAGGGGGCUAGCGUUGUUCGGAAUUACUGGGCGUAAAGCGCGCGCAGGCGGUUUUUCAAGUCAGGGGUGAAAGCCCGGAGCUCAACUCCGGAAAUGCCAUUGAAACUGUAAAACUUGAGGACGAGAGAGGUGAGUGGAAUUCCCAGUGUAGAGGUGAAAUUCGUAGAUAUUGGGAAGAACACCGGUGGCGAAGGCGGCUCACUGGCUCGUUUCUGACGCUCAGGCGCGAUAGCGUGGGGAUCAAACAGG
rnacentral:rRNA from 1 species